rnacentral:lncRNA from 1 species
CGUGCCUGCCCGUCGUGCAGAAGAAAAACAAGCAGAGAAGAAUGCAGCUUGCACAAUCAACCCAGCACAAGGAGUCUGAGAUGAAGAACUAAAGAAGCUGCCACAUCUGCUUGGAGAACAAAUAAGGAACUGCAACAUCACCAAAGAGCAAAGCUUCGCUGUACAAUUCCAAUCCAGUUCAAGAUCAAAGCUGUGGAAAGUCAACAAGAUCAACUAUCUCCAAAACCAGAUUUG